rnacentral:lncRNA from 1 species
UUUCAGGGUUGGCUUUCUGGGAAGACAUCAACUCUGAAAUAUGAAUAAAGGACAGAAAGUUAAAGAAGGUUUUUCUCAGGGCCUGUGUGAAACCAUGCAGAAGACAACCAGGAGAGUCAGAAACGUAUGCGGGUAUCACACCGCCGGGAUGAGACAAGUCAUCAUGAAGCUAGAAUUUUGUGAUAUGAUAGAUUCUGGACUCGCAGUGGUCUCCAGCGGAGGCUUCAGCUUGUGGUGAGGGUGUCCUGAACGACGAUGUUCCAUGAAAGGUGCUGCACACGAGUGAUCAUUCUGGGCUCCGCUUCCCUUCCUCUGUCUUCCCAAAGCCUCCAGUAGAAGAGCAAGUGGGAACGGUAAGAAUUUCUAAGCAACUGAAUGGAACAGAUGCUGUUGGAGGUAGUUUUGUGGGCCUGAGAAGAAUAAAGGAGAAGGGGAAGGACUGAAAUGAUUGCCAAGGGAAAAUACAGAAGGGAAGCUACACAGCCAUCCUGGGUCGGAGGGUCCCCC